UACAGAGGUCUCAAGCGUUGUUCGGAUUCAUUGGGCGUAAAGGGCGCGUAGGCGGCGAGGUAAGUCGGGGGUGAAAUCCUGGAGCUUAACUCCAGAACUGCCUUCGAUACUGGGAAUCUUGAGUCCGGAAGAGGUGAGUGGAACUGCGAGUGUAGAGGUGAAAUUCGUAGAUAUUCGCAAGAACACCAGUGGCGAAGGCGGACUCACUGGUCCGGUACUGACGCUGAGGUGCGAAAGCGUGGGGAGCAAACAGGG
rnacentral:rRNA from 1 species